rnacentral:misc_RNA from 1 species
AAAGUGCGAUAAGUCAUGUGAAUUGCGGAAUUCGUGAAUCAUCAAGUUUUUGAACGCAAAUGGCGCCAAUACUUAUAUUGGCACACCUAUUUGAGUGUUGGCUAAAAUCUUCUCAAUCUCAUCAUUGAGAGAUGAUGAAUGUCUAUCAAUUCCUUGUGAUGAGAUAGUCAUUUUAAAUGAAUCAAUUGAAACCUUUCACUGUGACUUGUCAUGAGAAACAUGAAGGUAAAUCAAUUAGAAACUUUGUUCUAUUCACAAUCUUUCAAGAGCGAAUUGACAAUCAACCUCAAAUUAGGUGAGAGUACCCGCUGAACUUAA